UUAAUACAUUUUGUUAUAACAGACGGAUGUUUUUUUGCUGAUGUUGUUUUGUUCAUAAUAGUAUGAAUUUAUUAUUAGUUGGAUCUUUAUCUGCCCGGGCCAAGCAACUUCAGCCCCAUGAGUACAAUUCAGGGACUUUUACUCUUUCCAAUUUGGGCAUGUUUGGAGUGGAUAGGUUUGAUGCUAUUCUUCCUCUAGGCCAGGGGGCUAUAAUGGCUGCUAGAGCAUCAAAGCCUACUGCUAUAAUAGGUGAGGUGAAUAUAAAUUGAUUGUGAAUUGGCCAGACCCAAGUUUUACAUUCAUUCUUAGAUUCAGUAAAUGCUUAUACACAGAGAAUUCAUCAUGGUUCAGUAGUUGUCUGCAGCAUCUCUGUUUCUGAAGUUUGAUUUUCUUCACUCUUCUGCUGCUGUUUGCUAUAUAGAAGUAGGAAAC